rnacentral:rRNA from 1 species
CAGUCGAGAAUCUUUCACAAUGGGGGCAACCCUGAUGGAGCGACGCCGCGUGGAGGAUAAGGUCUUCGGAUUGUAAACUCCUGUCAUGUGUGAACAAGGUUGUCUCGUUAAUAGCGGGGCAAAUUGAUGGUAACACAAGAGGAAGAGACGGCUAACUCUGUGCCAGCAGCCGCGGUAAUACAGAGGUCUCAAGCGUUGUUCGGAAUCACUGGGCGUAAAGGGUGCGUAGGUGGCGUGGUAAGUCAGAUGUGAAAGCCCGGGGCUCAACCUCGGAAUUGCAUCCGAUACUGCCGUGCUAGAGUACUGAAGAGGUGACUAGAAUUCUCGGUGUAGCAGUGAAAUGCGUAGAUAUCGAGAGGAAUACCAACGGCGAAGGCAGGUCACUGGGCAGUUACUGACACUGAGGCACGAAGGCCAGGGGAGCAAACGGGAUUAGA